rnacentral:tRNA from 1 species
GCGGGUGUAGCUCAAUGGCAGAGCCCCAGCCUUCCAAGCUGGCCAUGCCGGUUCGAUCCCGGUCACCCGCUCAA